ACUCGAAUAGUCAAGUGGGCAAGACGCCUUGCACCCAAGAUUUCAUCUUUCAAGGAGGCGGAGGUUCGAUUCCUCCUUUAAGUG